UGUUGGUGAAGAUAGCUUCGACGUCUUCUAAAAGCACCUCCAUCGAUUAUAUUAACGAGUGUUUAUACUAUUUUUUUUUAAUAUAAAUUUGAAAUAUUUGUGAAAGGAGAAAAGAGAAGAAACAUAUGUUAAAGACACUUUUUACUUACAUGUCACUUUUUGAUUGGGUUUAAUAUUUUUACAAUUUAUUGAUUAAAAUUUUAAUCUAACUUAAGACACUUCACUUUGAUCACCGGUGCAGAUACUUUAAGAGCCUCGCUUCACGAAGAAAAACCGAAUCGGAAUAACGAGUGGGAGUGAAUUCGGUGAGCAUGUAAGUAUCACCCUCAUCGCAUAAAACCUCCUUAGCUUCAAUUUCGAAAAGGGAAUUGUUAUAUACUGAUUGAACAAAAUAAAGAUAUUCUAUAGUAAACACAUGUUAUAUAGAACAACAUUUGAGAUUGAUAUUGUAAUAAUGGAGAG